GAUAAGAAACUACACCUCAGAGCACAGGGCCUCAACCUCAGAGCAGCCAGCUCGCUGUUUAGGAAAAGAAGGGAAGCCGAGCAGCUUGGCCUGAGACAAAGUUAGUUUAGAUGUUCAGCAAUCACACAACACAAAAGUACAAUGGCCGUUUUGGAAUGUCAAUGCUCCCAAAGUCUUAUCUUUACAAUCAUGUAAUGUAUCUACUUACAUAUGAUUCUUAAUGAUUUCAUUUGGCAGCUGUGGUGAUGGGAUAAAUUUAUUAAAAGACAAAUUUUUUUUGUCAUAGUUUUACCAUAAUUUUGUUUCUCUGUCAUUUUUAUGUAGCAAAAAUUUUGGGAAUUAGCGAUAGCCUUCUGGUGGAGCAAGCUGGUUCUCAAAGGGCAGAUAUACUACUCUAGUUUAAGAUGUGAUCGAAGUUAACUCCCAGCAUGAAUCCAGAAAAGAAGCUGACCCACAAGCUACUCUCUCUAGGGUCAUUCAUAUUCCAACAGAGUGCUGACCCCUCUGGCCUCUGAAUUGUAGUUGAGGAGACCUCUCACGCUGCUGACAUACAAUUGCCUCCGAAAUGCAUUAUUUUACUGGCCACUUCUCCAUUCUCUUGUCCCAUCCAUUGUUUUCUUUUUCUCUUUUUUUUUCCCCUUUAUUUGUUAUUAAUUAGUGCUCUUUCUGGUUUAUAAUUAUUAUUAGGAUUUGGGUCAUGACUUAUAAUCUGGUAAAUUAACGCAAAAAUAAAUAACAAAAUAAUGGAGUCAAGUAGGUCAUUAGAUGAAUUUUGUAUGGAUCUUAGUUACAUUUCGGAGACCCUUAUUAUUAACUCAUCUAUCCUUACUCUCCAUCUCCAAUCUUUGUGCCAUAACUGCACAUGCAUUGGAGAAGAUUCAAGCAAUUGAUUAGAAGUCUAGUCCCAGUUAUACACUUCACCUUCAAAUUCAAUAAGAAUAGAGAAGCCACCGCAAAUUUCUGAGCAAUAAUCUCACCAUCCAACCGAUUAGUCAUUGCUUUUACUCCUCAAGCACCUCGUCCUCCACCUCUUCUUAAGUAGUCUUUAAAUAAAAGGUUUAUAUAAUUACUUACACACAAUAAUACUGCUAAUAAAACACAAAAAUAACGAGC
rnacentral:lncRNA from 1 species